GCUCAGUGGGUAGAACAAGGUGUAUUGUAACCCCCGCACCCCCCCACAGCCAAGGGCGACACUCCCACCCCCACAUUUACCUCGCAAAGGCUUCAAAAGAACCCAGGCGUCCCGGAGGCUGAGAGAAGAGAACAGAAGGGAAAAAAUUCUGCAGCUUACCGAGCUCUGCAAGGGUCUAAGAUAGGAAGAGUGAGAGAGAAAGAAAGAAAGAUUCUGCUAGAGGGAGCAAAGGGUGCACUAAAGGACGACACAGAAAGAAUCGACAAUGAUUGAAAGAUCACACAAAAGGAGGAGUAUCCACCCUCCACCUCGCUCUUUUUCUGGGCAUCUCGGCUUCCCUGACUCCAUCCGUUCUUGGCUCUCCUCCCGCCUCCCCGGGGCUCGGUCGUUCUCUUCUCCAUCUGCACCUUCUCCUCGCAAACCCGGGUCUAACUCCUGCCUCCACUCCCAGAUCGACCUCACCAAGCAAAAAUCCGGCCAUCUCCUGGCUAUCUAACCAGCUCCUCACCCCAGCUUGCCUGUCACGGUCGACGCGGGCCUUCCUCUCACGUGCGGACUCCGUGGAAGUCUUGAGGAUGCCGCCCGACGUCCUCAAGAUCCAGCUUUUCCUCUCUAUCCUCGCCCCACCGCAUCGUCCGUGCGAUCUUGCCCGGCUCGUCCCUGCCUGGAAUGGGCGGGGGGCCCGAAAUCCUCCUCCAAGCCCAUUUCUCUGACCACAUUCCCCUAAGAAGAGAAGAACGGCCACGCCGGGUCAGUCCAAUCGCUGCUGACAGCGGCCAAUGCCAGGUGCUUCAGAGGGAAUGAACCGUGAUCCACCCCGUCACCCAGUGCCAGCUACUGGCAAUCAGAGGUUUAGGGACACCCAGACCAUGGGAAGGCAGCCCUAGCCAUCCUGGCUAACAGCCACUGAUGGACCGAUCAGCCAUGAACUUAUCUAACGCGUUUUCGAACCCUUGCAGCCCUCCACUGACACCCCCUUCUCUGGCACAUCAGACAUAAGCCAUUUGGACAAUGAGAAGGAGGUUUUUUUAACCACAUGAGGAACAAUAAGGAUCCUGAGAACAGUCCAGUCCUUGAUGGAAAUGGUAAACUUACCAAUACUAGCACAGAACAGGCAGACGCGGUCAAUAAAUAUUUCUGUUCUGCGUAACAAAAACAGACAUUGAAGGCUCAUCGGACGAGUGAUGACAACACUGUUUCCAUUCCACUAGUGUCUCUGGAGAAUGUUACACAGACACUACUAAAAAUCAAACAUUUUUAAAUCAUGUGGCCCAGAGAACUUCAAUCCAAGAGUUUUACAAGAGCUGGCCGAGGAGCUGGGUGUACUGUUACUGUUGCUUUGGAGCACUGGGGAAGGUCCAGAAGACUAUAAUAAAUCAAUGUGCCAAUUUUUUAAAAGAGGGUGAAUGGGAUGAUCUGCGUAAUUAUAGGCCUGUCAGCCUGACAUCCAUCCUGGGCAAGAGAACAGAGAGGCGGAUACAGGACUCAAUCAAUGAAGAAUUAAAAGAGAGUGAUGUAAUUAAUGCCAAUCAACAGGGGUUUACGGAAAAUAGAUCCGGUCAAACUAACUUGAUAUCUUUUUUUAACGAGAUUACACGUUUGGUUGCUAAAGGUGACAGCGCUCAUGUAACAGGCAGACUUCGCCGAGGCGUUUGACCUGGUCGCGCAUAACACGGAUUAAAAAUUCACACAAUGUAACAUUAACACAACCCACAUUAAAUGGCUUAAAAACCAG